AAAUUAUCUAGGUUCAAAUUGUUUUCUUAAAAAAUCUAUUUCCUGGGAACAUACACUCAAAAUAGCUUCAUUUGAGGUGGCAAUCAGGCUCUGUUAUUGACAGCAUACCUAGAAAGCAAUAAGACAGAGAAUUUCCCUCACAGUCUGAAAACUGAGUUUGUAGAGGAUUAGGCCUCUAAGAACCCAGAACUGGAGGUGUCUAGGUCUAAGGCAGCUCUAGAAAGAAACCGCAGUAGCAGAAGCUUGACUCUUUAUUGUGGUAUUCCAACAUGAAAAUGACCCAGUGUCUUCAGGUGUUUGCUCUGGUAUUUUCUCUUUAACAGACUGAUUCACCUUCUAUUUUAUGUGUUUUUCUCCACUUUACUAAUGACUUAAUUUAUGCAUCUUUCUGGCUCAUUUAAUAUUUCUUCAAGGCACAGACCUUGUUUCUCUACGUGCCUCAUGACUACUUCUCUUCUUAUUGUUUAUUGCCUUAUUUUUGUAAAUAUUCCCUAGUUCAGAUAUUUGAGAGAGAAUCUCAUUGUCUUUUGUUUAAAGCCACUUCAUGAAUGUUUUCUAAUCUUGGAUAAGAUGCUUUUUUAAUUGACUUUCCACUUUUGAUCAACUCUGGCUUAGGGAAGGGAGAAUUGCUUAGAAUGAAAGUUGAUUAGGAACAGCCUUGUGUCCUUUAGAUGGGGCUAGCUCUGAUCCUCACCAAAAACUUAUAUGGCAGGUAGUUUGUAUAUUACAACUUUCAAACUUUUACCUCCAUCUUAUACAUUUCUAUUGAGCUCCACACUAGCAUUUCAGUGACUUAGUUAACAACCCCAUGUAAAGGUUGCAUGGUAUCUCAGUUCAACACGUCCAUACCUGAAGUCAUGUUCUUCAUUCUUAACUUGUUUUUCCAGUGCUUCUGUUGCACUAAAAAGCAUCAUGAACUAUUAAGUUCCUUUGUCAGUAUCUGGAUACCUUUUUCUUUCUUGUAAGCCUUAGCAUUAUGUGUAUAUUAAGAACUGAGUGUGUUCCUCCAGUGGAUGAGCCUUGAAACAUCUACGUAUUUCAUUUUAUUGUGCUUUUGAGUUCCAUAGAGUGAUCUCAUUUGUUUUAAGUCUAAAUUGCAGUAAGUGGUAGUAUUUGUUUUCUGAAAUAUAAUAAAAUUGGAAUUUACUUAUAUUAGAUAUGUUUAUAAUUUUAGGCAGCAAAGGAACAGACUCAAGAUUUAAUAGUAAAAACCACUAAGCUUCAAUCUGAAAGCCAAAAAUUAGAGAUAAGAGCUCAAGUUGCAGAUGCCUUCUUAUCCAAGUUCCAACUGACUUCUGAUGAAAUGAGUCUUCUCCGAGGUACAAGAGAAGGACCCAUUACUGAGGUAUCCUGGCUUUCUGUUAUAAUCAUUUAAAGUUUAGUAGUUACAGAUAUUAGAGAGAAAUUGCUUUUUUGAAGCUUUAUUUUCCCAUUAAAAAAAGUUUCAUCUGAGAAUAUUUUUAUGUUUGGAAAUUUAAGAUGUGUAUUUUAAUUAUAUUUUUCAAAGUAAUACAUGUACUUUUUAAAAAGAGUCAAAGUUAU
rnacentral:lncRNA from 10 species